UUAUAUAUACUUAUAUAUUUAUCUUUUUAUGUGUGUAUUACACAUUUGUAUAUACAAAUACACGCAUAUAUGAAAUAUACAUUUAUAUAUUUACAAUAUAUUUCAUAUUAUAUAUGUGUGUAUAUAUAUUUCUCCCUCCCUCCUUCCCUCUCUCUCUUUCUCUCUCUGGUGUGUGUGAGCGUGUGUACACAGAUAUGGGUGUCCUCAAAUUCUCCUUGAACUAGAGUUCCAGGCAGGUGCGAGCCACCUGGCGUGAUUGCUGGGAACGAAGCUCAGAUCCUCUGCUUUCCUUCAGAGCUGUCUCUUCAGGCAGAAGUUUCCUCCAGGCUGCCUGUGUUUUCUUGUCACCACGGAGCCUCACAGGGCAGGGUAGAGCUGCCCACUGGAGCAAAAGAGGGGUCAGGUGGCAGAGAAGCUGCCCGAGAGACUGAACCGCUGCUGUUUACUUGACUAACUCCCAACGGCCCCUCUGCCGCAUCAGUCUCCUCUUCUUCUGGUGAAGACCCAGACAGAGGGCUUCGUUGCUAAUUCAUCAUUGCACAAAGCUGCGGAGAACUGGGAGAUAGAAUUCCACCUCUUGGCAUCCCAGGCACCCUAGAGAGAAGAUUUAAGCAGCCAGCAAGUCCCUGGUCUCAGAUAAAAGAAAUAUUUUAACCCUGGCUGAUAUCUUCUUGCUAAGGCAGGGUUUAAUGCUGUGCCAAAGGCUGAGUGAUAAGGGCUUUCAUUUUGUUUUCUUAGAUCUGUUUUCUUUCCAACUCUACCCCGGGGCAGACUCUAUCACUUCUCAUUAAGAACAACACAGAUCCAAAAUCCUCAUUCUUCCAUGUCCUCUUGGGAUUUUAUCUGUGCCAGCAAGUACUUCCUAUUUUUGACAUUUCUAAAUGGUUUAAAUCAAUCUAUAUUAGAUAUCAACCCGGAGACAAGAAUUACUCAUCCCCCUCCCCAACUUCUCCCUCUGGUGAAAAGUAUAUACAACUUUUUCACUAACAUAGCGGAGGAUUCCAGAACUUACUCGAACGGUUAAGAGAGAUCAAUUUCACAAGCAUCUGUGUUUUAGAUAUACAUCAAAACUGGACAAAACAUCAAUGCAAAUGACCUGCAAGUCACUCAAACAGGAAGAUUAGCGCCAUGUCCCUCUAAUUUACAGGAGAAACCCUAAAGUCAAGUGGAGUUCCAGGGAAGGAUCUCAGUGGAGAGGCUAUGCUUUUGUGUUUCUGUCAUCAGCAGCAAUCAGGCGUCUGUAACAGAUGUGGUGGCAACCUCUAGGCCAGGUGUGACAAGCAGACAGAUCCCCACAUCUUGGCACGUGUUCCCGCUCAGGGGCACGGUCAGCUCCGGCAGAAAGCCUAUGGUUCGACCUCACCUCUACUCAGUAUAAGCCCUUGAGUCCAGUUUAAAAAGAAAAACAGACCAGUCAAGUAAGGGGAAAGACUUGCUGCUACACCACAGCAGGGCAAAACUCAACUGCCUUACACAGGAGACAAGAUGCCAGACAGGGAAUACUGCACACUGUGUGCUGUAUGAUUCUGGGUCAUGUAAUGUCCUUGUCCGGCAACUCUAUAGGGACAGAAGGGAGUUGGAGUUGGAGUUGGGCAGAGAUGACAGUCGGAACAUUCCUGUGCACAGGGCAGGCCACCCACUAGGUGAUGACCAUACUCAGAAAGCAGACUCUGAAGUCGGCCAAACAACUCAGUGGACUCCCUGCAGUUGCUGAAUUUAUACUUUAGAGGGGCGCUGACAUUAUUCAGAGAAAUUCCAGGGACUCUCCUUAUAAAUGGUGUAGCAGCAGUCUUCUUAGAGAACAUUAGCUGUUGUCAAGAUCACUACAAAAACAUUCAAGUGAUCAGCAGGUGCUGUGGGCUCCACACAGCCCGGCUGGCUUCUCCCAUGCACACCGCCUGUGAAAAAUGCAUCCCUUCACUUCCUGGCCUGUCUCCUUGGGCAGGAUUCAAAUGGUGUAGAAGCAAAGGUCUCAGAAAACACGUGACCAAGGCGUGUGUUUCAUGUGGAGAGUUGUGAAGUGCCACAUUCCCUCCGUGGAUUCCUGUCUUCUGGCCUAGAACAAAAAUCUUGAAGUUUCAGAAAGAAGUUCAGGUCAGGAAACCCUGAGGCAAGUUCUUCUUCUUCCCACCUCCCCAAAGAACCCUGAGGGAAAGAUACUGUGAACAGCUCUGUACCUGCGAGCCAAGCGGCCCUGCUAUGUGAACAGGCACUUCAAGGAGCUAGUCAGUGUGUUGGCUUUGGGGUGAUGUCCAGGUGCUUUAGUGUCUGUUCAGAGCCUCUACAGAGCAGAACUCUGGGAUUCCUAAAGGAAACGAUGCUCCAGGGAACCUUGGGAAGUGCCACAGUGAACUGUGUUAACAGCUAGCUCCACAGAGAACAGCAGCAGGCUCUUCUGAGAAGCUCAAGCAGAUUACGGGAAAGGCGGUGAGUGGAACAGUGGGAAGCAGAGGCUCUCGCUUGGAUCCCAGUGAACAGUGACAAGAAUAAUGUCAAGUCAGGAUGGCCAAGAGGUGCAAUCUCCCCUGGAGGCAUGGGUUCGAAUCCCGCUUCUGACAAACUUCUAUUUAUGGGAUUUUCGGGGGAGGGGAGAACAGAGAAGGGGACAGUAUUUGAAGUGUAAAUAAAGAAUAUACCUAAUUAAAAUAAAAAAGAAUCAUGUCAAAGAUCUGGGUCAAAGGUCUGGGGAAGACUCAGCCAGAGUGCCUAUUAAAAUGGAGCCGAUAGCACCAGGUUUUUCU